CCCGGCACGGGGAGGUAGUGACAAAAAAUAACGAUAUGGGACUCAUCCGAGGCCCCAUAAUCGGAAUGAGUACACUUUAAAUCCUUUCAUGAGGAUCCAUUGGAGGGCAAGCCUGGUGCCAGCAGCCGCGGUAAUUCCAGCUCCAAUAGCGUAUAUUAAAGUUGUUGCGGUUAAAAAGCUCGUAGUUGGUUCUGUGUGCCAUGCUGUUGGUUCACCGCCUGUCGGUGCAACUAACAUGUCAUGGAACGUCUUGUCGGUGGUAAUUAAAGACCUAUUUUUUUAGUGAAAGUUUUACUUGAUCUAAAGAUAGGUUCCUUUAAUUACCGAUUAGUUCCUACCGCGGUGCUCUUCAUUGAGUGUCGAGGUCGGCCGACAAGUUUACUUUGAACAAAUUAGAGUGCUUAAAGCAGGCAAAAGUCUGCCUUGAAUAGUGGUGCAUGGAAUAAUAGAAUAGGACCUUGGUUCUAUUUUGCUGGUUUUCUGAAUCCAAGGUAAUGAUCAAUAUGGACAGGCGGGGGCAUUCGUAUUGCGACGUUAGAGGUGAAAUUCUUGGAUCGUCGCAAGACGAACUAGAGCGAAAGCAUUUGCCAAGUAUGUCUUAAUUGAUCAAGAACGAAAGUUAGAGGUUCGAAGGCGAUCAGAUACCGCCCUAGUUCUAACCAUAAACGAUGCCAGCUAGCGAUCCGCCGAUGUUUUUCUCAUGACUCGACGGGCAGCUCCCCGGGAAACCGAAGCUUUUGGGUU
rnacentral:rRNA from 1 species